AGUGAUUAAAUGUAUGAUUAUGGCCAACUUCAGGAAAUGUGCAACCCAAUGUACAAGAAUCCACUUACUACAUCAAAAGGAAGUGCUGGUCGGCACAUGGUAAGGUGCAAUUCUGCAUUACUUCAGUCUCUAUUUACUCAUGCUACUUAAUCAAGG